rnacentral:lncRNA from 1 species
AACGAGUUUGAUCUUUGAUUUAGAACUAUUUAUUCCCCAAGGAUGGCUGGUAAGAGACAAAAAUGCUGUGGAAUUGGUUCACGCUCAUACAGCUAGUAAGCAGCAGAGGCUGGAACGUCUGUUUGACUCCAAAGUCCACUGGAGUCCUACAUACGACAAGCCCAAUUCUCCUUCCUCCAUGUCCUUCGAAGUCCUUAAAUGUCCAUUUAACUUAAGGAAACCAGCUUCCACAUUUUAGAAAUUUAGACCUACACCUCCAAGUUGGUAAGCAGUCAGGCCCUGGCGAAACUGGACUGCGUAGUCAACACUGUCUUUCAAACUAAAGAUUGGUUCAAGAUGCUUUUUUUCCAUGGUGGAGUCUUGGUUCCUUGGAUCCCCCAGCAACUCAGCCUCAGCCUAUUCAGAGCUGGCUUCAGAAGUCCAUGACACCGACAGAACAGAGACUUCUCACUUCUCACAGAGAUCUAGGAAGAGAAAAUGUUUCUGGUAUAAGCACAGAUUUCUACUAAUUUCUGCUUCUGUUUCUAACUUUUGCAUAAACUAACUGGUUGAAUAAAAGAAAAUGCCUGAGGGGGGACCUGCCAAGGAGUGGAAAGUUUAGUCUCCUGAGGCUGGAGGACUCCAACAAACACUCUGAAGCUGAUAGCACUUCAAAGAUGUGGUUCAUCAAAUCAGGAGCUGAGGUGUGCAUAAGGAACGAGAUGUUAAAAGGACAUCACCUGGCAACCAGAUUCAAAAUCCUUUGAGAACAUUAACCUCCUGGCCAGGCCUAGAUUUAAAGCGAAUGGUUAACCCGCUUCCUGACAAUAGCUAUACAGCUGAGAUACGUUCAUAGGAGGGGAUGUGGG